AAAUUACUUUCUCUCUAGAGGCAAGACAUCUCUUUGAUAAUUAGGCAAGGAGGCAGAGAAACUUGGUGAAAACAAGUUCAAGAAGAAUCUUCCUGGAUUUCAAAUAAUAUGGGCUUGUUCUUACCUACAUGGCCAAAAUUUUCCAUGAGCAUCUUAAGGAGUGGAUAUGUGAGGACAGUCUACUGCUCAGAUCUCCAAAUACAUGUCUACAAAAAUGUCGCACCAAUCUGAACUGUGUAAUGCCUCAGAAAUCAUCUUUUGCUCUCAGGGCCAAAUCUGGCCAGGUUGUGACUGAGUUUUUAUCCAUUGUUUAUUGUCAAUUCACUGGACACCACUGAGAAGAAGAGCCUGACUGCCUUCUUCACACCCCUCAUCAGAUAGCUACAACUUUUGUUUAUGGAUCUUGACUGUUACUGAGCUCAGCUCCAUGGAAGACUGAAAAAGAAAAUAAAGGUUCAUAGAUUAUGUUCAAUCAAAGUGUCUCUGUUACUCCAGGCAUAGUUUGUAAUCUCAGUCUCACUGUAUAUAGUUGCAGUCUGAUGAUGUCAUUAACCACAGUGACCUUUUUGAAAUCUGUCUGUGUCUUACUGUGUUAACUAUAGAAGGUUUUGAAUAUUCAGUGAUUCUUUAUCUCUGGGUCUGAUUUCAGCAGUUAGGGGGCCUUCUCAAAUCAAAGGGAAGAUUUACUUGGCAGCUAAGCCAGUUAAUAGUGUUCCCUUAUCUGUAAUCAGUUUAGAGAAAGGGAUCAAAGGUGCUAGCAGGGCAGAUGUAGAGAUGUCCUAUAUUGACUGAACUUUUCCAAGCUCUGUUGUCACUUCACUUUCAAUAUGUCAAGGAAAAGUCUUUUAGACAUGCAAAAGUAAUUUAAUAAUCACAGUGAUUGAUUUAAUUUGAUUUGAUGUCAUUACUUAUCUCCUUUGUGAACACUGACAGCUUCAGCCUUUCUGAAGAAUGUGCCUACAUGGAUUCCCUUUGGAUGAGCUCUUCAGUAGAAACCAGACAUUUAACACUAGCUCCCUGUAACUUGAAGUAGUUGCACAGUGUUGAACAAUUGAGAUUCUCAUGGGUCUGCCAAAAUGAGUGAGAUUGGUCCUGUGGCUUAAAGCACAUAUAUUCUCAUCAGUGGGUUGUUACUGAGACAAGUGUGUGUCAUUCUACUUCCAGAAUUUAGCAUCAGAAAUAGCUGCAUCACUGCAAAAAGCUCACGUUAACAGGAUUUACUGAGAAGGGUAUAAGAGUAGCGUAGCUACACUGUUUCAGACUCCUGAACUUCCCCCAGCACAGUUCCUUCCCCCAGGCAAAGACAAGAUUCACAAAUUAUACAUUCCUCUUGCGGCAGUGCGGGCAGAUGUUCUGAGAAGAUGUCAAACACACAACUACUGCACUGAACAGUCUAUAAAAUGUAACAGCAAUCUAUUUAUUUAUUUAUUUAUUUAUUUAUUCUAAGCCAUCUCUCAUUUUAUUUUAUUUUAUUUUAUUUAUUUAUUUAUUUAUUUAUUUUUUUCCUGAGAGCAUGGACCUCCUAGCACUGAGGGACUUGUGUGGCAAUUAGCCUUGAAGAGAAAUGAUUCUAACCACUUGCAGCAACAGACCAGACUGUGCACACAACUCAAACUCAUAGCCUUGGCACUAUUAGUGCUAAUCUCUGAACUGUUUUCUCAAAUGGGAAUAAUAUCAACUCCUUUGCCUCUAAUAGUAAGGGUAGUGUAAGGCCUAGUCAGUUCAGAAAUUCUGAGCGGAAGAUUGGUUUUCAGACUGUGAAUGCAGAAUGACUGGAAAAACCAUCCUACAACCUGGAAAAUAGGAUGAGGCAGGUCUGAAGGCUGGCUGCCAUGCUCCUGGUCUCAUUAACUGUCUGCUGGGAGCUGCAGCUCUUUUAUGUUCCCUGGCACUAAGGUCCUGCAGUGUAGAAGGAAUGAUACCUCCCUCACUUGGUGUUCUGCCCGGCAGCCAGCAGCUCAGACCCUGCAGGUGUUAUCUGCAGGCACCCAAACUUUGUGUUUUUAGAGUAAAAUUGUACACAGAAGGCCAAUGGAGAUAGGUAAGAAACUGAAUUCAGUGAAGCACAGCCAAUUUCUUCAACUACAGGUUGGCUGCAGAAAAGCUGGGAAUCAUUGUUUUUUGGAUUCACUUCUUCAUUUUUAAUAGACUUUCCAGGCUCUUGCCACAAGAUUGAGUCUUUGGCAAAGAGAACCUAACAUCUUCCAUUCAAUUCUCAAGUACUUAGGCUCUGCAUACAAAUAAUGUAAAUGCUUUUCAGUCUGAGGUGGCAGAGAAUUUAAAUGUUAUUGUUGUUUUGCUC